AGAGCGAACGCUGGCGGCAGGCUUAACACAUGCAAGUCGAGCGGGCGUAGCAAUACGUCAGCGGCAGACGGGUGAGUAACGCGUGGGAACAUACCUUUGGUUCGGAACAACACAGGGAAACUUGUGCUAAUACCGGAUAAGCCCUUACGGGGAAAGAUUUAUCGCCGAAAGAUUGGCCCGCGUCUGAUUAGCUAGUUGGUGAGGUAACGGCUCACCAAGGCGACGAUCAGUAGCUGGUCUGAGAGGAUGAUCAGCCACAUUGGGACUGAGACACGGCCCAAACUCCUACGGGAGGCAGCAGUGGGAAUAUUGGACAAUGGGCGCAAGCCUGAUCCAGCCAUGCCGCGUGAGUGAUGAAGGCCCUAGGUGUAAAGCUCUUUUGUGCGGGAAGAUAAUGACGGUACCGCAAGAAUAAGCCCCGGCUAACUUCGUGCCAGCAGCCGC
rnacentral:rRNA from 1 species